UUUGAUUAGGCUCAGGUUGAACGCUGGCGGGAUGCUUUACACAUGCAAGUCGAGCAGCCUUUGACACGGACUCGGUCUGGUGGCGAGUGAUGGCGAACGGGUGGUAAUAAUAUCGGAACGUGCCUAGUAGCGGGGAUAACUACGCGAAAGCGUAGCUAAUACCGCAUACGCCCUUCGGGGAAGCGGGGACGCUGUAGACUCACGCUGUGAAACGAAGCGACUAUCGGUUGGCUAGUUGGUGGAGUAACGACUCCUGCGGGCGACGAUCAGCAGCUGGUUUGAGAGGACGACCAGCCACACUGGGACUGAGACACAGACUCCUACGGAGAGCAGCAGUAAAAUUUUGGACAAUGGGGGAAACACGAUCCAGCCAUCGCGUUGUGCGAUGAGCCUUCGGGUUGUAGAAAGCACUUUUGGCAGGAAAAGAAACGGCACGGGAUAUUACCCCCGUGCAACUGACGGUACACAGAAUAGCGCAAAGCUAACUACGUGCCAACUUCUUUGUGACAGCCGUAGGGUGCAAGCGUUAAUCAGAUAUUACUAGGGGCGUAAAGCGUGCAGGCGGGGUUCAAGGAAGAAAGAUUAAAGCCGAAAUCCCAGAGCUUAACUUUGGAACUGCAUUUUAACUACCGAGCUAGAGUGUAAUCAGAGGAGGUGGAAUUCCGCGUGAGUGAAAUGCGUGAAUAUGCGGGGGUUCGAUGCGCUGAAGGCAGCCUCCUGGGAUAACACUGACAUCAUGCACAGCGUGGGAGCAAACAGGAUUAGAUGCCCUGGUAGUCCACGCCCUAAACGUGUCAACUAGCUGUUGGAAUCCUUCGGGCCUUGGUAGCGCAGCUAACGCGUGAAGUUGGCCGCCUGGGGAGUACAGUCGCAGAUUAAAACUCAAAGGAAUUGACGGGGACCGCACAGGCGUGGAUGAUGUGGUUAAAUUCAGUGCAGCACCGAAAAGCCUUACCUACCCUUGACAUGUGUCUGGAAUCCCGAGAGACGGGAGUGCUCGCGAGAACCGGAACACAGGUGCUGCAUGGCUGUCGUCAGCUCGUGUCGUGAGAUGUUGGGUUAAGUCACAACGACUGGCGCAUCAUUAGUUGCUGAGACGCUCUAGUAAGGACUGCCGAUGACAAACCGGAGGAAGGUACUGAGAUGUCAGUCCUCAUGGCCCUUAUGGGUAGGGCUUCACACGUCAUAUAAUGAGUCAGGACAAGGUCGCCAACCCGCGAGAGAACCCAAUCCAGAAACCCGAUCGUAGUCCGGAUCGCAGUCUGCAACUCGACUGCGUGAAGUCGGAAUCGCUAGUAAUCAUAGCGGAUCAGCAUAUCGCGGUGAAUACGUUCCCCGGGUCUUCACUCCGUCACGCCAUGGGGAGUGGGUUUUACCAGAAGUGGUUAACUAUAACCAGUAAGGAGGGCGUUACCACGAGCGCAAGUUGCUGACUGGGGUGAAGUCGUAACAAGGUAACU
rnacentral:rRNA from 1 species